rnacentral:rRNA from 1 species
GAUGUCUGGGAAACUGCCUGAUGGAGGGGGAUAACUACUGGAAACGGUAGCUAAUACCGCAUAACGUCGCAAGACCAAAGAGGGGGACCUUCGGGCCUCUUGCCAUCGGAUGUGCCCAGAUGGGAUUAGCUAGUAGGUGGGGUAACGGCUCACCUAGGCGACGAUCCCUAGCUGGUCUGAGAGGAUGACCAGCCACACUGGAACUGAGACACGGUCCAGACUCCUACGGGAGGCAGCAGUGGGGAAUAUUGCACAAUGGGCGCAAGCCUGAUGCAGCCAUGCCGCGUGUAUGAAGAAGGCCUUCGGGUUGUAAAGUACUUUCAGCGGGGAGGAAGGGAGUAAAGUUAAUACCUUUGCUCAUUGACGUUACCCGCAGAAGAAGCACCGGCUAACUCCGUGCCAGCAGCCGCGGUAAUACGGAGGGUGCAAGCGUUAAUCGGAAUUACUGGGCGUAAGGCGCACGCAGGCGGUUUGAUAAGUCAGAUGUGAAAUCCCCGGAGCUCCACCUGGGGAACUGCAUCUGAGACUGGGAAGCUUGAGUCUCGUAAAGGGGGGAUAGAAUUCCAUGUGUACCAGGAGAAAUGGCGUACAUAUCUUGAAGGAAUACCGGGCGCGAACGGCGGCCCCCUGGGACGCACCAC